rnacentral:tRNA from 2 species
AGGGGCUUAGGAUAACAUAAGACCAAGGGCCUUCAAAGCCCUAAGCAGGAGUGAAAAUCUCCUAGCCCCUG